rnacentral:rRNA from 1 species
UACGGAGGGUGCAAGCGUUAUCCGGAUUCACUGGGUUUAAAGGGUGCGUAGGUGGGCAGGUAAGUCAGUGGUGAAAUCUCCGGGCUUAACUUGGAAACUGCCAUUGAUACUAUUAAUCUUGAAUGCCGUGGAGGUCAGCGGAAUAUGUCAUGUAGCGGUGAAAUGCUUAGAUAUGACAUAGAACACCAAUUGCGAAGGCAGCUGGCUACACGAAUAUUGACACUGAUGCACGAAAGCGUGGGGAGCAAACGGGA